UACGGAGGGAGCUAGCGUUGUUCGGAAUUACUGGGCGUAAAGCGCACGUAGGCGGCUUAGCAAGUCGGAAGUGAAAUCCCUCGGCUCAACCAAGGAAGUGCUUUCGAAACUGCUGAGCUUGAGUACUUAAGAGGAUCGCGGAAUUCCCGGUGUAGAGGUGAAAUUCGUAGAUAUCGGGAGGAACACCAGUGGCGAAGGCGGCGAUCUGGGAAGAUACUGACGCUGAGGUGCGAAAGCGUGGGGAGCAACAGG
rnacentral:rRNA from 1 species